rnacentral:rRNA from 1 species
UUCUGAUUUGAAAACAAAAAAACAAGUUAAAACUUUCAACAACGGAUCUCUUGGUUCUUUCAUCGAUGAAGAACGCAGCGAAAUGCGAUAAGUAAUGUGAAUUGCAAAAUUCAGUGAAUCAUCGAAUCUUUGAACGCACAUUGCGCCCGGCAGCAAUCUGCCGGGCAUGCCUGUCCGAGCGUCAUUUCAACCCUCGAACCUCCGUUUCCUCAGGGAAGCUCAGGGUCGGUGUUGGGGCGCUACGGCGAGUCUUCGCGACCCUCCGUAGGCCCUGAAAUACAGUGGCGGUCUUGCUUUUGGUUGCCUUCUGCGUAGUAAGUCUCUUUUGCAAGCUCGCAUUGGGUCCCGGCGGAGGCCUGCCGUCAAACCACCUAUAACUCCAAAUGGUUUGACCUCGGAUCAGGUAGGGUUACCCGCUGAACUUAAGCAUAUCAAUAAGCGGA